CCCGCACAAGCGGUGGAGCAUGUGGUUUAAUUCGACGCAACGCGAAGAACCUUACCAGGGCUUGACAUCCCUCGCCAUCCAUAGAAAUAUGGAGUUCUAUGCUACGGUAUAGACGAGGAGACAGGUGGUGCAUGGUUGUCGUCAGCUCGUGUCGUGAGAUGUUGGGUUAAGUCCCGCAACGAGCGCAACCCCUACUUUUAGUUGCCAGCAGUAAGAUGGGCACUCUAAAGGAACUGCCGGUGACAAACCGGAGGAAGGUGGGAUGACGUCAAAUCAUCAUGCCCUUUAUGUUCUGGGCUACACACGUGCUACAAUGGCCGGUACAGAGGGUAGCGAAGGAGCGAUCCGGAGCCAAUCCCAAAAAGCCGGUCUCAGUUCGGAUUGCAGGCUGCAACUCGCCUGCAUGAAGUCGGAAUCGCUAGUAAUCGCGAGUCAGCAUAUCGCGGUGAAUACGUUCCCGGGUCUU
rnacentral:rRNA from 1 species